CCUACGGGUGGCAGCAGUGAGGAAUAUUGGUCAAUGGACGAGAGUCUGAACCAGCCAAGUAGCGUGAAGGAUGACUGCCCUAUGGGUUGUAAACUUCUUUUAUAUGGGAAUAAAAUGUUCCACGUGUGGGCUUUUGUAUGUACCAUAUGAAUAAGGAUCGGCUAACUCCGUGCCAGCAGCCGCGGUAAUACGGAGGAUCCGAGCGUUAUCCGGAUUUAUUGGGUUUAAAGGGAGCGUCGGUGGAUUGUUAAGUCAGUUGUGAAAGUUUGCGGCUCAACCGUAAAAUUGCAGUUGAAACUGGCAGUCUUGAGUACAGUAGAGGUGGGCGGAAUUCGUGGUGUAGCGGUGAAAUGCUUAGAUAUCACGAAGAACUCCGAUUGCGAAGGCAGCUCACUGGACUGCAACUGACACUGAGGCUCGAAAGUGUGGGUAUCAAACAGGAUUAGAUACCCUAGUAGUC
rnacentral:rRNA from 1 species